CCUACGGGUGACAGCAGUGGGGAAUAUUGGGCAAUGGAGGAAACUCUGACCCAGCAACGCCGCGUGAAUGAUGAAGGUCUUCGGGUUGUAAAGUUCUUUUCUUAGGGACGAAGAAAGUGACGGUACCUUAGGAAUAAGCCUCGGCUAACUACGUGCCAGCAGCCGCGGUAAUACGUAGGUGGCGAGCGUUAUCCGGAUUGACUGGGCGUAAAGGGUGCGUAGGUGGUUUGGCAAGUUAGUAGUGUAACUCAAGGGCUCAACCUAUGAACUGCUACUGAAACUGUAGGACUUGAGUGCAGGAGAGGCAAGCGGAAUUCCUAGUGUAGCGGUGGAAUGCGUAGAUAUUAGGAGGAACACCAGUGGCGAAGGCGGGUUGCUAGACUGUAACUGACGCUGAGGCACGAAAGCGUGGGGAGCAAACAGGAUUAGAUACCCGAGUAGUC
rnacentral:rRNA from 1 species